rnacentral:misc_RNA from 1 species
GAUGAAGAACGCAGUGAAAUGCGAUACGUAAUGUGAAUUGCAGAAUUCAGUGAAUCAUCGAGUCUUUGAACGCAAAUUGCGCCCCCUGGUAUUCCGGGGGGCAUGCCUGUCCGAGCGUCAUUGCUGCCCUCAAGCACGGCUUGUGUGUUGGGCCUCCGUCCUCCUCCCGGGGGACGGGCCCGAAAGGCAGCGGCGGCACCGCGUCCGGUCCUCGAGCGUAUGGGGCUUCGUCACCCGCUCUUGUAGGCCCGGCCGGCGCUUGCCGACACAUCAAUCUUUUUUCCAGGUUGACCUCGGAUCAGGUAGGGAUACCCGCUGAACUUAAGCAUAUCAAUAAGCGGAGGA